CACCGCGUGCUCCCUCUUUUGGAGUUGCGGUCAUGGACGAGCCGGGCAGCGCGCGCAUGAACGGAGAGGCAGACCCUGAAAAGAAGAAGAAGAGGAAGAAGAAGAAGAGCAGGACAGCUCCCUCAGGACACGGUGAACUAGGCGAGGAUGGAGAAGUGGAUGUGAGGAAGCUGGAGGAGAGAGAGAGGGAGGAGGAUGCAGAAGAAGACGGAGAGGAGGGUGACAGCUCUGCUGGGAAAAAGAAGAAGAAGAAGGGGAAGAAAAAGAAAGGCCGUAAGUCUGUGUUUUUCUCCCUCGUUCCCUCUGCGCUGACUUCCUGCUCUUGUCACUGGGCCAGAGCUAU
rnacentral:lncRNA from 1 species